rnacentral:rRNA from 1 species
AACGGGUGAGUAACACGUGGGUGAUCUGCCCUGCACUUCGGGAUAAGCUUGGGAAACUGGGUCUAAUACCGGAUAGGAACCAUCUUUAGUGUGGUGGUUGGAAAGUUUUUUCGGUGUAGGAUGAGCUCGCGGCCUAUCAGCUUGUUGGUGGGGUAAUGGCCUACCAAGGCGGCGACGGGUAGCCGGCCUGAGAGGGUGUACGGCCACAUUGGGACUGAGAUACGGCCCAG